rnacentral:tRNA from 1 species
GAUGCUGAAGCUGCUGAAAUAGCAUAGGCUUGCAAAGCUGAAGUUGAUGGUUCGAGUCCAUCCAGUAUCA